UUGAUGUUUACAUGCAAAGUAGUUAUGAAGAUUUCCUUGCCAUGUUUUGUCAACCCAGUUAUGCUUUUUGCUCUCAACAGAAAACUUGAGCGUCAAGGUCGCUGUUGUCACGGUGGGGGUCGUUGCUGGGGCUGUCCUUCUGUCGGCCAUCAUCUUUGGGAUUGUCAAGCGUUACAGACACACUCACAGUACCUACUGGGAGACAAUGACCAUUAGGUUUACUCGGUCUGAGUCUGCGUGAGACACAGCAGCUGGCACACAGAACACAAAGAUAUCUCCAUCCCUGAAGGACAUCAUCCCACAUGGAGAUGAGAUGGAGAUGUUCUUUGUUCCUAUGAUACAUAUACCUUAUACUCACAUUUUACUGUUACAUCAUGCAAUGUCUUUUCUGGGUACUAAAAAAAUUGAGAUGAGAUGAGAUGAGACGGAGAUGAGAUGGAGAUGUUCUUUGUUCAUGAUACAUAUACCUUAUACUCAUAUUUUACUGUUACAUCAUGCAAUGUCUUUUCUGGGUACUUAAAAAAUGGAGAUGAGAUUGAGAUGAGGUGGAGAUGAGAUGGAGAUGUUCUUUGUUCCUUAUGAUACAUAUACCUUAUACUCAUAAUUUACUGUUAUAUUAUGCAUUGUCUUUUCUGGGUACUUAAAAAAUGGAGAUGAGAUGGAGAUGAGAUGGAGAUGUUCUGUGUUCUUCAUGAUACAUAUACCUUAUACUCAUAUUUUACUGUUACAUCAUGCACUGUCUUUUCUGGGCACUUAAAAAACCCGUUAUGAUCAUAUCAAAGUUUUGUCGUUUCAGAUUGAUUUAGGUCCUAAUGUGUGUGUUGCUUUAAAUGCAAACUAAUAGUAGUGAAAUCGCCGCUAUUUAUUGAUGACAAUCACAUAGUGCCACAUUUCUUUCAAUAAAUUAAUUUGUUCAUUCCGGCUCCAGAAGGAGGAAGAGUCAGAAAGUGAUGUUGAGAAAAAUACAAGAAGAGAACAAGAUAAAGAUUUAAGUUUUCACAGCACUAACUGAAAGCCAACUAAGAUGAAAACUGUGAAAUAAAAGUAAAACAUAGUAUAUUUUUAACAGAUAUUACUUUAAAUUAAUUACAAUAUUGAUAUGCCAAAACAUGGAUUUGUCAAAAUUUAAAUCGAAUGUUCUAUUGGCAAACACACAUUCAAAGCAGUACCAUUGCAGUGUGACCACAGUGUUGUCACUUGAUUGGUAGUUAAGUCAUUUCAUGGUUUUACCUUCGACCAGUAACCUUUAACAGUUAACGUUUUUUACCAGAGUGUUAAAAAGUGACAUGUCUGCAUUACUCCAGUGUCAUUUAUCGUCACAUUUAAGAUGUUUUAUUUUUGGACUGGUAAGCUUUCUUAAAGAGAACUGCACUUUUUUGAGAAUUUUGCCUAUCAUUCACAACCCUUAUGAAACACAUGACAAUGAAUGGAUUUUUUUUUAAAAAAGCAUUCCAACCCGUAAAUAAACGUGAAUAAAAGUCUACUUACAGUGGAGCCCAGUCCUCUAUUCUGCCCAUAAAACCCAAAUAAUAAUUAUCCAAAAACCGCCAACAAUACCCCAUUUACAUUUCAAUCCAUCCAUUUCCUACUGCUUGUCCCUUUCAGGGUUACGGGAGUGCUGGAACCUAUCCCAGCUGCAUUCGGGCGAAAGGCGGGGUACACCUUAGACAAGUCGCCACCUCAUUGCAGGGCCAACACAGAUAGACACAUAACAUUCACACACUUGGGACCAUUUAGUGUUGCCAAUCAACCUUUCCCAGGUGCAUGUCUUUGGGGGUGGGAGGAAGCCGGAGUACCUGGAGGGAACCCACGCAGUCACGGGGCGAACAUGCAAAUUCCACACAGAAAGACCCCGAGCCCGGGAAUCGAACCCAGGACCUUCAUAUUGUGAGGCACAUGCACUACCCUGUUUCACUGUGCUGCCCCAUUUACAUUUUGUGACUUAAAAAUUAACCAAAUAUUAGUGACAUUGGUAUUAUAACGCAGACAAACUAUUGAUCACAAGAUUGUGUGUAAUGUUGACAUGAUCGACUGAUCAGCUGCUUCCUCGUUUCCGUGCUCGUCAAACUUUAUUGUAGAUCAUAAAUCAUGCCUCUCACCUGGAUAAAAUAAGGCUGAGGAUGGUACACUAUUUUAGACCAGGAAAUGGCAAGAAUGACACAAAAAGACGCUUGGUUUCCCCCACCUUUUCUUUGCAAAGACUAUGAGUCAUUCUUCAUCUAACUCUAAUCUCUCUAAUCUAACUAGCCUCCAUUGUAAGCGAACUUUUGAUCGCAUGUAUUUAAUAUUUAGCAUGCAUAAAAAUACAUCUGUCAUCAUGUCUUUCAUGAUUGCGAAUGAUAGGCAAAAUUCCGGAAAAAAAGUGCGGUUUCCCUUACAACUUGUAUGAAUAAUCUU